GAGGGUAUAGCUCAAGUGGCAGAGCACAUGCUUAACAUGCAUGAGGUCCUGGGUUCAAUUCCCAGUCCUCC
rnacentral:tRNA from 1 species